rnacentral:rRNA from 1 species
AUAUAGCAUUCAUCAAGAGCAACGAGAGACAACCGGGAUUGCCUCAGUAACGGCGAGUGAAGCGGCAAGAGCUCAAAUUUGAAAGCUGGCUCCUUCGGGGUCCGCAUUGUAAUUUGCAGAGGAUGCUUCGGGUGCGGCCCCUGUCUAAGUGCCCUGGAACGGGCCGUCAGAGAGGGUGAGAAUCCCGUCUGGGAUGGGGUGUCCGCGCCCGUGUGAAGCUCCUUCGACGAGUCGAGUUGUUUGGGAAUGCAGCUCUAAAUGGGUGGUAAAUUUCAUCUAAAGCUAAAUACUGGCCGGAGACCGAUAGCGCACAAGUAGAGUGAUCGAAAGAUGAAAAGCACUUUGAAAAGAGAGUUAAAAAGCACGUGAAAUUGUUGAAAGGGAAGCGCUUGCGACCAGACUCGCCUCCAGGGUUCAGCCGGCAUUCGUGCCGGUGUACUUCCCUGGGGGCGGGCCAGCGUCGGUUUGGGCGGCCGGUCAAAGGCUCCCGGAAUGUAGUGCCCUCCGGGGCACCUUAUAGCCGGGAGUGCAAUGCGGCCAGCCUGGACCGAGGAACGCGCUUCGGCACGGACGCUGGCAUAAUGGUCGUAAACGACCCGUCUUGAAACACGGACCAAGGAGUCUAACAUCUACGCGAGUGUUCGGGUGUCAAACCCGUACGCGCAGUGAAAGCGAACGGAGGUGGGAGCCCCCUCGUGGGGCGCACCAUCGACCGAUCCUGAUGUCUUCGGAUGGAUUUGAGUAAGAGCGUAAAUGUGGGGACCCGAAAGAUGGUGAACUAUGCCUGAAUAGGGCGAAGCCAGAGGAAACUCUGGUGGAGGCUCGCAGCGGUUCUGACGUGCAAAUCGAUCGUCAAAUUUGGGUAUAGGGGCGAAAGACUAAUCGAACCAUCAAUGACCC